ensembl:processed_transcript A730017L22Rik RIKEN cDNA A730017L22 gene
GGGGGCGGGACCAGGGCCGUGGUCUUCCGGCGUGCCCAGCAUGUAGACCUGCUCAAUGCCAGGGUCUUAGCGCGGAUGAACAUCGCCUAGUCUACGGAGGCUCUUUGCUUUCCGCACCGCGCUACGACGAGUUAGCCAGUACCUCCUUACAGUGGCUGCCUGGCUCUGCUAGACAAGCUGACUGUGCAUUGCUCAGUUGUCUGAUGACCCAUGGCCUUUGAUCAUAUGCCUAAGAACUGGAGUCUUGCACCUCUGGAUGAAGUCUUUUGAUUAUGAGAACAAAAAACAAGUAAUGAGUGAAUUGCCUCCAAAUAUUAGUUUCUACUUUUUAAAAAUUCUGAUGGGGUGGAGGGAGCAAGUGCCCCUGUGCACCUGUGGACAUCAGCCCCUGUGCACCUGUGGACAUCAGCCCCUGUGCACCUGUGGACAUCAGCCCCUGUGCACCUGUGGACAUCAGCCUCUGUGUACCUUAGACAUCAUCAGCCCCAGUGAACUUGUGGACAUCAGCCCCUGUGCACCUGUGGACAUCAGCCCCUGUGCACCUGUGGACAUCAGCCCCUGUGCACCUGUGCACAUCAGCCCCUGUGCACCUGUGGAUAUCAGCCCCUGUGCACCUGUGGACUGUGCACCUGUGGAUAUCAGCUCCUGUGCACCUGUGGAUAUCAGCUCCUGUGCACCUGUGGACAUCAGCCCCUGUGCACCUGUGGACAUCAGCCCCUGUGUACCUGUGGACAUCAGCCCCUGUGCACCUGUGGACAUCAGCCCCUGUGCACCUGUGCACAUCAGCCCCUGUGCACCUGUGCACAUCAGCCCCUGUGCACCUGUGGACAUCAGCCCCCUGUGCACUUGUGGAUAUCAGCCCUGUGCACCUAUGGACAUCAGCCCCUGUGUAGCUGUGGACAUCAGCCCCUGUGUACCUUAGACAUCAUCAGCCCCAGUGAACUUGUGGACAUCAGCCCCUGUGUACCUGUGGACAUCAGCCCCUGUGUAGCUGUGGACAUCAGCCCUGUGCACCUGUGGACAUCAGCCCCUGUGCACCUGUGGACAUCAGCCCCUGUGCACCUGUGCACAUCAGCCCCUGUGCACCUGUGGACAUCAGCCCCUGUGUACCUUAGACAUCAUCAGCCCCAGUGGACCUGUGGACAUCAGCCCCUGUGUACCUGUGGACAUCAGAUAACCACUGGCAGCAGCCAGUUCUCCCCUUCUGCUAUGUGGUUCCCAAGGACAGAACUCAAGUCAUCAAGCUUGGUGGGAAAAUGCCUUUACCAGUGAGCCAUCUACCAACCCAUAAAUGUUGGUUUUGGCGGAUUUUUUUCCUAGAUAAGUUUCCUCACAGCUUUUGCCUGGUUAGAGGGCUAUAAAUAGAAGCAGGAGUGGAUUCUAGGUAAGGAUAUAUUUUCCCAACUCCGAGCUGAGAUUCUUAUUUUAUUAUUUAUUGAUUGAUUGAUUGAUUUUGUUUUUUGAGACAGGGUAUCUCUGUGCAGCCCUGGAUGUCCUGGAACUCACUUUGUAGACCAGUUCAUUUCGAACUCAGAAAUCCGCCUGCCUCUGCCUCCCAAGUGCUGGGAUUAGAGGCAUGUGCCACCACUGCCUGGCUUAUUUUUUAUUUUAGAGUUUCUUUCUUUCUUUCUUUUUUUCUUGGAUAUUUUCUUUAUUUACAUUUCAAGUGUUUCCCCUUUGGAAACCCCUUACCCUAUUCCCCCCUCCCCAUGUCACUAUGAGGGUGCUUCCCCCCCACUCCUAUCCUCCCACCCUGGCAUUCCCCUACACUGGGGCAUUGAACACCCUCAUGCCCAAGGCCUCUCCUCCCACUGAUGUCCAACAAGGCCAUUUUCUGCCACAUAUGUGACCAGCGCCAUGGGUCAGUCACUCGGGUAUUCUUUGAUUGGUGGUCCAAUCCCUGGGAGCUCCCGGGGGUCUGACCUGUUGACACUGUUGCUCCCUCCAUGGGGCUGCAAACUCCCUCAACUCCUUCAGUCCCUUCUCCAAUUCCUCCAUCGGGGACCCCCAAGCUCAGUCCAAUGGUUGACUUCGAGCUUCCUCCUCUGUAUUUGUCAGGCUCUGGCAGAGCCUCUCAGGAGACAGCCAUAUCAGGCUUCCAUUAGCAAGCACUUCCCAGCAUCCACAAUAACAUCUGGGUUUGGUGGCUGUAUAUGGGAUGGAUGCCCAGGGGGAGCAGUCUCUGAAUGGCCUUUCCUUCAGUCUCUGCUCCCCACUUUGUCUCCAGAUUUCCUCCUGUGAGUAUUUUGUUCACCUUUCUAAAAAGCACCGAAGCAUCUACGUUUUGGUCUUCCUUCUUCUUAGGCUUCAUGUGGUCUGUGAAUUUAAUCUUGGGUAUUCUGAACUUUUGGGCUAAUAUCCACUUAUCAGUGAGUACAUACCAUGUUUGUUCCUUUGUGACUGAGUCACCUCACUCAGGAAGAUAUUCUCAAGUUUUUGCCUGAGAAUUUC